rnacentral:rRNA from 1 species
UAGGGAAUCUUCCACAAUGGACGCAAGUCUGAUGGAGCAACGCCGCGUGAGUGAAGAAGGUUUUCGGACCGUAAAGCUCUGUUGUUGGUGAAGAAGGAUAGAGGUAGUAACUGGCCUUUAUUUGACGGUAAUCAACCAGAAAGUCACGGCUAACUACGUGCCAGCAGCCGCGGUAAUCGUAGGUGGCAAGCGUUGUCCGGAUUUAUUGGGCGUAAAGCGAGCGCAGGCGGAAGAAUAAGUCUGAUGUGAAAGCCCUCGGCUUAACCGAGGAAUUGCAUCGGAAACUGUUUUCUUGAGUGCAGAAGAGGAGAGUAGAACUCC